GCUAACUGGGGGCGAGGAGCGGCGUGAGUGCUGAGGGGGGGUUCGGUAAUGGGUUGUAAUGGGCGUGAAGUGUGGGUAGUCGGCUGAUUAAGUCGGAUGGGAAAGCCCUGAGCUGAACUUAGGAAUGGCAUUCGAGACUGGUCAGCUAGAGUAUGGGGGAGGAUGGUAGAAUUCCAGGUGUAGCGGUGAAAUGCGUAGAGAUCGGGAGGAAUACCGAUGGCGAAGGCAGCCAUCUGGCCUAAUACUGACGCGGAGGUACGAAAGCAUGGGGAGCAAACAGGAUUAGAUACCCCAGUAGUC
rnacentral:rRNA from 1 species